rnacentral:misc_RNA from 1 species
UUUCCGUAGGUGAACCAGCGGAGGGAUCAUUACAGAGUUAUCUAACUCCCAAACCCUUUGUGAACUUACUAUUUUGUUGCCUCGGCAGUAGUUGCUGGGCGAGCCUACCCGGGAACGAGCUACCCUGUAGCGAGUUACCCUGGAACGACUUACCCUGUAACGCCUGCCGGUGGACUACUAAACUCUUGUUAUUUUUAAAGUAAUCUGAGCGUCUUAUUUUAAUAAGUCAAAACUUUCAACAACGGAUCUCUUGGUUCUGGCAUCGAUGAAGAACGCAGC